rnacentral:rRNA from 1 species
CACGUAGGGCGCGAGCGUUGUCCGGAAUUAUUGGGCGUAAAGAGCUCGUAGGCGGCCUGUUGCGUCCGCUGUGAAAGCCCCGGGGCUUAACCCCGGGUCGGCAGUGGAUACGGGCAGGCUAGAGGUAGGUAGGGGAGAAUGGAAUUCCCGGUGUAGCGGUGAAAUGCGCAGAUAUCGGGGAGGAACACCGGUGGCGAAGGCGGUUCUCUGGGCCUUACCUGACGCUGAGGAGCGAAAGCAUGGGGAGCGAACAGG